rnacentral:rRNA from 1 species
CCUACGGGUGGCAGCAGUAGGGAAUAUUGCUCAAUGGGGGAAACCCUGAAGCAGCAACGCCGCGUGGAGGAUGAAGGCUUUCUGAUUUUAAACCCCUUUUUUUAGAGAAGAUAAUCUCGGUACCUAACUUAUAAGCACCGUCCAACACCGUUCCAGCAGCCGCGGUAAUAUGGAGGGUGCAACCGUUACUCGGAGUCACUGGGCGUAAAGAGCGCGUAGGCGGGAUAGCAAGUCAGAUGUGAAAUGCUAUGGCUUAACCAUAGAACUGCAUUUGAAACUGUUAUUCUAGAGUGUGGGUGAGGUAGGUGGAAUGCAUGGUGUAGGGGUAAAAUCCGUAGAGAUCA